rnacentral:rRNA from 1 species
CCUACGGGUGGCAGCAGUGAGGAAUAUUGGUCAAUGGGCGCGAGCCUGAACCAGCCAAGUAGCGUGAAGGAUGACUGCCCUACGGGUUGUAAACUUCUUUUAUACAGGAAUAAAGUGAGGCACGUGUGCCUUUUUGUCUGUACUUUAUCAAUAAGGAUCGGCUAACUCCGUGCCAGCAGCCGCUGUAAUACGGAGGUUCCGAGCGUUAUCCGGGUGUAUUGGGUUUAAAGGGAGCGUAGAUGGGUUGUUAAGUCAGUUGUGAAAGUUUGCGGUGCAACCGGAAAAUUGCAAUUGAGACUGGAGGCUGUGAGUGCAGUUGUGGUAGACGGAAUUCGUGGUGUAGCGGUGAAAUGCGUAGAUAUCACGAAGAACUCCGAGUGCGAAGGCAGCCGACUAAAGUGCCACUGACAUUGAUGCUCGAAAGUGUGGGUAUCAAACAGGAUUAGAUACCCCUGUAGUC